AUAUAAUAAAAAAAAUAAAAAAUGAUGAUAGGUGUAAGUGAGAUUAAUAUAUGUAUUGGAAACUCAAAUAAAAAAGUAAGCAAGAAAAAAUGAGAGAUAUUGUAUUAUCAUAUUUAUUAUAUACAAAUAUUUAUUAUUUAUUAGCAUUAACCAUUACUAGUAAGAUUGUUUAGGAAAUAACCAAUAUAUUCAAUGAUCUUAAUAAAUAAUAAUAAUAAUAAAUUCAGUAUUAUGUUCCCUCUAUAAAAAUAAAGAAAAAAAUUGAGGCCCUAAGCCACGGCCUAGUUGCUACUUUUCUUACCCUAAAUGAAUAAAGGUAGCAUUAUUUGCAUAACAACAUUAUGAUGUAAAACUAAAAUGAUAUACUUAAAAAGAAACAUCCAAAUAAUUCUUAACAUUGUUAUGCUUACACACAUUCACAAUAAUUCAAUUCGCAUCGUCUUCCUCGUGGAGGGAAGCACAUAUCUUUUGGACAAUCUUUAUAUGUUACACAAGGAAUGAAAGCUGAGAUGUCAAACAAAAUCAAAAACCAUAUUAUAUUUCAGUUAUUUGUUAAAAAAGAUAUAAAUUUUAUCAUAAAGUAUAUUAUUUAUAGUAAUAAUUAUCAUAUAUAUUGAAUAUAAAAAAUAUCAUGGAUAACAUUAAAAAAAUGAAAAUACUGUGUAAAAUAACUUACAUCCUAUAGGAUCACUUCUCUCUGUAAAAGCAAAAGAAAUUUUAUUAAAAGGUGAUGAAAUAUUGUGCUUAAAAAAUAAAAAAUAAAAAUUAAAUGCCGUCAUUAAUUGACUUACUACUAGUUACAAUAAUAAGUAGAGAAAGAAAAAUGAUCAAAAUAUAAAAGAAUUUGAGAAUUUGAGCCAUAUUUUUCCUGCGUAUAACUAAAAGAAAAUUGUCUUAUAACUUUUUAGAUUACAAGCUUCGUGUUUUGUUGGUUUUAAAUAUACUAGUAUUAAUUACCACAUAAGAGUUGUAAGAAACCAUUUUAAAAAUGGAAUUAUUUGCUAAAUGCCUCUAUGGUACAUCCAUAUGUUGUGUUUAUCUCUUUAAAUUGGCAAUUUUUUUAUUUAACUUUUAAUAUACUUUUUCUACUUAACCUUUCAU
rnacentral:lncRNA from 1 species